rnacentral:lncRNA from 1 species
CUGUCAGCCAGCCCCAUUAAUGUAGUCCUUUAUAAGAUGUGUCUUGGUCAUUGUGUCUGUUCACAGCAGUAAAACCCUAACUAAAACAGCCCAUAAGUAAGGCUUCAGCUAAUAGCAAAAAGGAACAAUACUCUGACUGCGGUACAACAGAAAUAAACAAGAAAGUACAUCUUUUAAAAACCUGAAUUAAUAUACAUUGUCUUGCCAUCUCUCCAGGUAAUUCUGAGCUUAAGAGAAAAUAAAAAAGAAAAUCGCAGUGAUCUGGAUAUGAACAAUGCAAGCCCUGCAGACUGAAACUGUAGACCGGUAUAAAGCAGCUCUCAGGAAGAACUGCAUAGAGUCAUAAAACUCACAAAAGUCCGAGAAAGAGUAGGGACACCCCCUGCCAUUAGUCAGUAACACAAUGUCUGUAGGAACAGUUUAAGGGGAAAAGAUUUAUUUUGGUUCUUAGUUUCUGGGAUGGUUUGAAUGAGAAUGGCUUCCAUAGGCUCAUAUGUUUAAAUGCUUGGUUCCCGAUUGGUGGAACUGUUUGGGAAGGACUUGGAGGUGUGGCCUUGUUGGAGCAGUUGUGUCACUGUUAUACUUCAAGGCCCCACCCAUUCCCAGUCUCUCCCCCGCCCCCACCUCCUGCCUUUAGAUCAGGAUGUAAGCUUUCAGCUACUGCUUCAACUCCAUGCCUGGCUGCCUGCUACCAUGCUUCCUGCCAUGGUGUUCAUGCUCUGCAACUGUAAGCAAGGCCCCAAUUAAAUGUUUCUUCUUAU